rnacentral:rRNA from 1 species
GAAUCUGGGAGGACCAUCUCCUAAGGCUAAAUACUCUCUAGUGACCGAUAGUGAACCAGUACCGUGAGGGAAAGGUGAAAAGCACCCCGGAAGGGGAGUGAAAUAGAACCUGAAACCGUGUGCUUACAAGUAGUCAGAGCCCGUUAAUGGGUGAUGGCGUGCCUUUUGUAGAAUGAACCGGCGAGUUACGAUUUGAUGCAAGGUUAAGCAGUAAAUGUGGAGCCGUAGCGAAAGCGAGUCUGAAUAGGGCGUUUAGUAUUUGGUCGUAGACCCGAAACCAGGUGAUCUACCCUUGGUCAGGUUGAAGUUCAGGUAACACUGAAUGGAGGACCGAACCGACUUACGUUGAAAAGUGAGCGGAUGAACUGAGGGUAGCGGAGAAAUUCCAAUCGAACCUGGAGAUAGCUGGUUCUCUCCGAAAUAGCUUUAGGGCUAGCCUCAAGUGAUGAUUAUUGGAGGUAGAGCACUGUUUGGACGAGGGGCCCCUCUCGGGUUACCGAAUUCAGACAAACUCCGAAUGCCAAUUAAUUUAACUUGGGAGUCAGAACAUGGGUGAUAAGGUCCGUGUUCGAAAGGGAAACAGCCCAGACCACCAGCUAAGGUCCCAAAAUAUAUGUUAAGUGGAAAAGGAUGUGGCGUUGCCCAGACAACUAGGAUGUUGGCUUAGAAGCAGCCAUCAUUUAAAGAGUGCGUAAUAGCUCACUAGUCGAGUGACACUGCGCCGAAAAUGUACCGGGGCUAAACAUAUUACCGAAGCUGUGGAUUGUCCUUUGGACAAUGGUAGGAGAGCGUUCUAAGGGCGUUGAAGCAUGAUCGUAAGGACAUGUGGAGCGCUUAGAAGUGAGAAUGCCGGUGUGAGUAGCGAAAGACGGGUGAGAAUCCCGUCCACCGAUUGACUAAGGUUUCCAGAGGAAGGCUCGUCCGCUCUGGGUUAGUCGGGUCCUAAGCUGAGGCCGACAGGCGUAGGCGAUGGAUAACAGGUUGAUAUUCCUGUACCACCUAUAAUCGUUUUAAUCGAUGGGGGGACGCAGUAGGAUAGGCGAAGCGUGCGAUUGGAUUGCACGUCUAAGCAGUAAGGCUGAGUAUUAGGCAAAUCCGGUACUCGUUAAGGCUGAGCUGUGAUGGGGAGAAGACAUUGUGUCUUCGAGUCGUUGAUUUCACACUGCCGAGAAAAGCCUCUAGAUAGAAAAUAGGUGCCCGUACCGCAAACCGACACAGGUAGUCAAGAUGAGAAUUCUAAGGUGAGCGAGCGAACUCUCGUUAAGGAACUCGGCAAAAUGACCCCGUAACUUCGGGAGAAGGGGUGCUCUUUAGGGUUAACGCCCAGAAGAGCCGCAGUGAAUAGGCCCAAGCGACUGUUUAUCAAAAACACAGGUCUCUGCUAAACCGUAAGGUGAUGUAUAGGGGCUGACGCCUGCCCGGUGCUGGAAGGUUAAGAGGAGUGGUUAGCUUCUGCGAAGCUACGAAUCGAAGCCCCAGUAAACGGCGGCCGUAACUAUAACGGUCCUAAGGUAGCGAAAUUCCUUGUCGGGUAAGUUCCGACCCGCACGAAAGGCGUAACGAUUUGGGCACUGUCUCAACGAGAGACUCGGUGAAAUCAUAGUACCUGUGAAGAUGCAGGUUACCCGCGACAGGACGGAAAGACCCCGUGGAGCUUUACUGUAGCCUGAUAUUGAAAUUCGGCACAGCUUGUACAGGAUAGGUAGGAGCCUUUGAAACGUGAGCGCUAGCUUACGUGGAGGCGCUGGUGGG